GGUCUCGUCGUCUAGUGGCCAAGGACACCUGGUUCUCAUCCAGGAGAUCACGGGUUCGACUCCCGUCGAGACCGCAA
rnacentral:tRNA from 3 species